UGAGUUGUGUUUGAACUAACCUUGUGGCAUGUGUUGUUUACCACUCUAGAGUAUUUGAUGAGGACCCUAGUGGAGGUCUUAUGUUUGUGGUUUGAUGCAUGCACAUGUUAGGUUCUAGUUCUUUGGAUGUGAUCCCAGCUUGAUGUAUGUUAUGUUGACCCAGCUAGAGUUUUGAUGAGGGCUCUAGUAGGGGGUUCUUUAUAUUUCCAGUUAUGUCGCAUACAGGUCAAGCUCGGUAUAUACAUCAGAUGUUUAAGUUUUUAUGUUAAUGUUUUGAUCAUGUAUGGGAUUUGACCAGGUGAUAGGAAGUAUGUUAGGCUUGCUACGGGUCCCGGCGGCCUUAAGCCGAUCUGGAUCCUAGCGCCGGUAGCGAUUCGGGCCGUUACAGAGGGGUAUCGGUUUUCGGGCUGUUACAGAUUGGUAUCAGAGCCCUAGGUUCAAAUGAUUAGACCGAUAGGGUAUAGAGAGCCCUAGGUUCACAUGGUCGGACCUAUAGUGUGUCGGGCUCAUAGAGUUUAUAGAAGGGCAAGCACAAUAGGCAAAAUCAUGUCCACUAGGAUAGGAUGUAGAGUCCUGUCUUGUAUGAUGAUGAUGUGAAAUGCCAUGAUUUUAUGCAUGUGCAUUAAUGUUAUGUAUGAUAUGUUAUGUAUGCUAUGUAUGUUGCAGGUUCAUGUGUUUUUAUAUGAACCGUAUGAUGCUAAUGAUUGUUUGUAUGCUUGUGUGUUGUUCUUCAGAGGAGCCAGAAUGCGAGGUGCUCGUCGAUCUGUGGAAUCGACUGGAGUUCCAUCUGAGAGGGAAGGUAUGGAUACCUUAAUCUUUUAUUUUAAGAAAUCGAAUGCCUAAAGCAUGUUCAUGCAUCAUGUUUAUAUGUAAUAGGUUGAUUGCACUAGUUACACGAAUAUGACGCAUUGCAUUAUUUACUAUUGAUGUGGAUGGACCAAGGCGACCCCAAUGGCCCACGAUCUGUCAUGAUAAGAGAAGUCCUGUGGAGCUCCUUUGAGGGCCGGGCACCAUGUAGAAAGUCCUGUGUGAGCUCCUUCGGCGGCCGGGCACCAUGUUAUGUAAUAAAAGUCCUGUGUGAGCUCCUUUAGGGGCCGGGCACCAACAGAGGGAGCUUUGGAGGUCAUGUCCAAUCCGUGAUGUGAAUUGUUUGUGCUGUGACGCAUUUCAUAAAAGCAUGUAAUUAAUGAACUGUUUUUAUUGUUUCUACUCACUGAGCCUUUUAGCUCACCCCUCUCCCCUAACCCCAGGUUUGCAGGUCAGGAGUAGUUCAGGAAGACGUCAAGGGUAAUGUCUUGUUUAUGUAAUAGAUUAGUGUUUUAGUGUGGACAUGUAAUGUAAAUUGAUAUAAUGUAUUGUAAGAUAAUGUAAUGUAAUGUAAUGUAAAGUAGAGAUUUAUUUAUGGAUUAGUACUGUGCUUGGCCCUAAGACUUGGUUAGUCCCUGUUUAGUACAUGAUGUAUGUAAUGUUUUAAAUGUUGAGUUGUGUUUGAACUAACCUUGUGGCAUGUGUUGUUUACCACGCUAGAGUAUUUGAUGAGGACCCUAGUGGAGGUCUUAUGUUUGUGGUUUGAUGCAUGCACAGGUUAGGUUCUAGUUCUUUGGAUGUGAUCCCAGCUUGAUGUAUGUUAUGUUGACCCAGCUAGAGUUUUGAUGAGGGCUCUAGUAGGGGGUUCUUUAUAUUUCCAGUUAUG
rnacentral:lncRNA from 1 species